rnacentral:rRNA from 1 species
CGGUAGAGAGAAGCUUGCUUCUCUUGAGAGCGGCGGACGGGUGAGUAAUGCCUAGGAAUCUGCCUGGUAGUGGGGGAUAACGUUCGGAAACGGACGCUAAUACCGCAUACGUCCUACGGGAGAAAGCGGGGACCUUCGGGCCUUGCGCUAUCAGAUGAGCCUAGGUCGGAUUAGCUAGUUGGUGGGGUAAUGGCUCACCAAGGCGACGAUCCGUAACUGGUCUGAGAGGAUGAUCAGUCACACUGGAACUGAGAACGGUCCAGACUCCUACGGGAGGCAGCAGUGGGGAAUAUUGGACAAUGGGCGAAAGCCUGAUCCAGCCAUGCCGCGUGUGUGAAGAAGGUCUUCGGAUUGUAAAGCACUUUAAGUUGGGAGGAAGGGUGUAGAUUAAUACUCUGCAAUUUUGACGUUACCGACAGAAUAAGCACCGGCUAACUCUGUGCCAGCAGCCGCGGUAAUACAGAGGGUGCGAGCGUUAAUCGGAAUUACUGGGCGUAAAGCGCGCGUAGUGGUUAGUUAAGUUGGAUGUGAAAUCCCCGGGGCUCAACCUGGGGAACUGCAUUCAAAACUGACUGACUAGAGUAUGGUAGAGGGGUGGUGAAAGCGUGGGAGCAAACAGGGAUUAGAUACCCCUGUAGUCCACGCCGUAAACGAUGUCAACUAGCCGUUGGGAGCCUUGAGCUCUUAGUGGCGCAGCUAACGCAUUAAGUUGACCGCCUGGGGAGUACGGCCGCAAGGUUAAAACUCAAAUGAAUUGACGGGGCCCGCACAAGCGGUGGAGCAUGUGGUUUAAUUCGAAGCAACGCGAAGAACCUUACCAGGCCUUGACAUCCAAUGAACUUUCUAGAGAUAGAUUGGUGCCUUCGGGAACAUUGAGACAGGUGCUGCAGGCUGUCGUCAGCUCGUGUCGUGAGAUGUUGGGUUAAGUCCCGUAACGAGCGCAACCCUUGUCCUUAGUUACCAGCACGUUAUGGUGGGCACUCUAAGGAGACUGCCGGUGACAAACCGGAGGAAGGGGGGAUGACGUCAAGUCAUCAUGGCCCUUACGGCCUGGGCUACACACGUGCUACAAUGGUCGGUACAGAGGGUUGCCAAGCCGCGAGGUGGAGCUAAUCCCACAAAACCGAUCGUAGUCCGGAUCGCGUCUGCAACUCGACUGCGUGAAGUCGGAAUCGCUAGUAAUCGCGAAUCAGAAUGUCGCGGUGAAUACGUUCCCGGGCCUUGUACACACCGCCCGUCACACCAUGGGAGUGGGUUGCACUCAGAAGUACUAGUCCUAAC